UCCCAGACUCCUACGGGAGGCAGCAGUGGGGAAUAUUGCGCAAUGGGCGAAAGCCUGACGCAGCGACGCCGCGUGAGGGAUGGAGGUCUUCGGAUCGUAAACCUCUGUCAGCAGGGAAGAACGGUCACUGUGCUAAUCAGCAGUGAAUUGACGGUACCUGACUAAGAAGCCCCGGCUAACUACGUGCCAGCAGCCGCGGUAAUACGUAGGGGGCAAGCGUUAUCCGGAUUUACUGGGUGUAAAGGGAGCGUAGACGGCGGCGCAAGUCCGGAGUGAAAGCCCACGGCCCAACCGUGGGACUGCUCUGGAAACUGUGCGGCUUGAGUGCGGGAGGGGCAGGCGGAAUUCCUAGUGUAGCGGUGAAAUGCGUAGAUAUUAGGAGGAACACCGGCGGCGAAGGCGGCCUGCUGGACCGUAACUGACGUUGAGGCUCGAAAGCGUGGGGAGCAAACAGGAUUAGAUACCCUGGUAA
rnacentral:rRNA from 1 species